rnacentral:rRNA from 1 species
CCAGAGAACUUAGCAGAGAUGCUUUGGUGCCUUCGGGAACUCUGAGACAGGUGCUGCAUGGCUGUCGUCAGCUCGUGUUGUGAAAUGUUGGGUUAAGUCCCGCAACGAGCGCAACCCUUAUCCUUUGUUGCCAGCGGCUCGGCCGGGAACUCAAAGGAGACUGCCGGUGAUAAACCGGAGGAAGGCGGGGAUGACGUCAAGUCAUCAUGGCCCUUACGGCCAGGGCUACACACGUGCUACAAUGGCGCAUACAAAGAGAAGCGACCUCGCGAGAGCAAGCGGACCUCACAAAGUGCGUCGUAGUCCGGAUUGGAGUCUGCAACUCGACUCCAUGAAGUCGGAAUCGCUAGUAAUCGUAGAUCAGAAUGCUACGGUGAAUACGUUCCCGGGCCUUGUACACACCGCCCGUCACACCAUGGGAGUGGGUUGCAAAAGAAGUAGGUAGCUUAACCUUCGGGAGGGCGCUUACCACUUUGUGAUUCAUGACUGGGGUGAAGUCGUAACAAGGUAGGCGUAGCGAG